rnacentral:lncRNA from 1 species
GGGGGAGAGGAGACAGGAACACUGUCAGCACUGCCAUCUCCACAUACGCAGGACACUGUACAUUUUGCAAUACAUAUUAAACAUCGGGUGAUCUUGUUUUCAGAUGUUCACUGCACGUGGCUUUAUUAGAAACCGCCUGCCAGAGUCUAGACACAGCCAUGGAGUCUGGUGACCUGUGGGAGGGAGCAAGGGCCAGAAUUCCCGCUGAGUCGCCCCAGCCCUCCACCUUAAUCCCCUUCUUAACUUUCCAUCUGCUACUGGAUGCUUGCAGCAGAACCACAACCUGCCAGCCCCUACCCAGCUCCAAACCCCCUCUCUCCCCCGCAGGCGCGCAGCAACCGCCGCGGCAACCCCUUCCCGCGGGACCCGGCAGGCUGGGCGGGGGUGCGGCGGGGGCGGAGCCCGACGUCCUGCUGCUGCUGCCGCCGCUGCCGCCACCGCCGCCUGCGAAGCUGCCUCCCCUUCCACGGAUGCUCCGGCGGGGCAGCGCUGCCCUGCGUGGACAGAUGGGCGCCCCCCGGGCCUGACGGACGAGCAGCCGGGCACGUGAACUCCCGCCUCCAAUUUAGCUCUGUGCCCCGCGCCGGCGGCUGUGGCUGCAGCCCCGCGGUGGGGGCGGCCCCCGCGGUCUCCGCUUGGCUCCUGCGCGCCGCCUCUGCUCUUUGCAUAGUAAUUUCAGUUCCUGCAAGCACCCAGCUCGCUCCCGGAACAGGUCUGAGAAGGACCGCCGCUCCCGAGCACACCGGAGCCAUCCGUGUGGCGCUGAGAGCCACUGCUUGGGAUAUGCGACGGGAAGCCCCCGCCACAGCGCAGGCAGUGACCCCGCCACGCUGGGGAGAGCCGGGCGACAGCAGAUUGACCCUUCAGAGGGCCCCUCUCUGACUGUGUCUUCGCGCUGAGCUACGACUGCUUCCCAGUGGGAGCAUACUCAGGGAACAGCUCUGAGG